UGGGUCUCUCCCUUCUGUACCCACAUUUUGAAGCUUGGCUCCCCAAUCCUCCACCAAGGAAAGGGGUGAAUGAGGAUCCCAGACGAGGGUGGAACUUUAUGACGUCAACAUCCGCUUCCGAGGGCUGAAGAUCUGCCUUCCCGACCAAUGCGCAUUACCUUUAAGCAGGACUCAAGGUUCUGCCCUGUUAAAUAGGAGAAUGGUCCAAGAUGAGCGACAGCAAAUAGACUUCAACUCAAGUUCUCCGCGGAUGGCCACCUGGAGCUCUAUGUUGAGAAGAAUUCUGAGG
rnacentral:lncRNA from 1 species